AUUGAACGCUGGCGGCAUGCCUUACACAUGCAAGUCGAACGGCAGCACGGGUGCUUGCCCCUGGUGGCGAGUGGCGAACGGGUGAGUAAUACAUCGGAACAUGUCCUGUAGUGGGGGAUAGCCCGGCGAAAGCCGGAUUAAUACCGCAUACGAUCUACGGAUGAAAGCGGGGGACCUUCGGGCCUCGCGCUAUAGGGUUGGCCGAUGGCUGAUUAGCUAGUUGGUGGGGUAAAGGCCUACCAAGGCGACGAUCAGUAGAUGGUCUGAGAGGACGACCAGCCACACUGGGACUGAGACACGGCCCAGAUUCCUACGGGAGGCAGCAGUGGGGAAUUUUGGACAAUGGGCGAAAGCCUGAUCCAGCAAUGCCGCGUGUGUGAAGAAGGCCUUCGGGUUGUAAAGCACUUUUGUCCGGAAAGAAAUCCUUGGCUCUAAUACAGUCGGGGGAUGACGGUACCGGAAGAAUAAGCACCGGCUAACUACGUG
rnacentral:rRNA from 1 species